AGGAUGCGAUGAAGCAAGAGGUUGCCACCUUAAGGGGAAUUCUUGUGGAGAAUGUCCUGAUCAAGAAUCGGGCGACAA
rfam:Clostridium cylindrosporum DSM 605 CLCY_1c, whole genome shotgun sequence.